GUGCCAGCAGCCGCGGUAAUACGAAGGCGUCAAGCGUUGUCCGGAUUUAUUGGGCGUAAAGGGUCUCCAGGCGGUUUUGUUAGUCGGGUGUCAAAUCUCAGCGCCUAACGCUGAGGCCGCAUCCGAAACGGCAGAACUCGAGGCACGGAGAGGCAAACGGAACGGUAGGUGUAGGGGUGAAAUCCGUUGAUAUCUACCGGAACACCAGAGGCGAAGGCGGUUUGCUAGCCGUGUCCUGACGCUCAUGAGACGAAAGCGUGGGGAGCGAAUGGGAUUAGAUACCCCAGUAGUCCACGCUGUAAACGAUGGGGGCUAGUUGUCGGCGCGCUUGCGUGUCGGUGACGCAGCUAACGCUUUAAGCCCCCCGCCUGGGGAGUACGGUCGCAAGAUUAAAACUCAAAGGAAUUGACGG
rnacentral:rRNA from 1 species